GUGCCCACUUUGGCAGCACAUAUGCUAAAACUAGAACGAUACAGAGAAGACGAUCAUGAUACCUGUCCAGAGACAGCCCGCAGAUUCUUGAAGUGUUCUGUAUUUUG